rnacentral:tRNA from 1 species
AGAAACUUAGGUUAAUCAGACCAAGGGCCUUCAAAGCCCUAAGUGGAAGUGGGAGACUUCUAGUUUCUG